UCACGCCCCGCGACCGCUACCAAUUUGGUCCGGCCCGGGCGUAUCGAACAGACGCCGAACGGACAUGACCUCCCCUGUCCGUCCAAGGCUAACCAACAGAUCAUGUAUAAGAAUUUACCCAGGAAUCAAUUAUAAAUACACGAUCGAGAAGCACCACUAGUGCUAACAAAACGAGAGCAAGAUACAAGUAUGAAAAUAUACAAGUACAUAAAGAGAGAAGAUGCUACCUAUUGCAUUCAUUUAACUCAAUACAUUUAAUUACAUCUUUAACAUUCUUCCAAAAUAUAAGUACAAUCUCUCAAACCUCACCCUAUACAUCAUCUACUCUCAAACAUAAUAAAAAGGUAAAGCUAAUGCAAAAGGGGUGGAUAGCUAGUGCAACUAGGGCGCUAGGCCUUUACCGCGAUCCUCGCCGUGUGAACUCGCGCUCGGCCCUGUAGUAAAAAUGGGGGUGAGAACUAACUUCCUUAGUUCCCAGUGGGUUCGGCCGCCGACUCCGCCGAUCUCCCCACUAGGUCCAAGCAGGCAAAAGUAGAUAAUCGAUAGAUAGAUAGAUAAGGAAAGUGGUAAAUGACAGAAAUAAAGCUACGCUACUAUGCCCAAUCAUGAUUAUAUGAAUGCAUGUACAAUGAAAUAGAUAAACAACUAACCCAUUAUCAUGUCCAAAGGUAAAGUUAUUUACUCGUUCAUCAAUCUCAUUCACUCAUUUCUUAAUCUCGUGGCUUCCCUGAAGGAGCCUACUGCUCACUAGCCAUCUCGAAGGUAGGGAGGGUCAACUCGCACUACGAACCGAGACCGUCUGCCGGGGCCCAAAAUAGGCAAUCCCUUGGAACCCAAAAUAGGCAAUCCCACGUGACCAACUCCGGAGCGCACUACUUGUGUGGGGCUUCCAUCACAAGAUUUAAAAAUAGACCGUGAGCAUGAUCCAAUCCUCGUCUCGAGAAUACCCUAUCCUCUAGGGUUACAAUCAUCAUAUAGUCCAUGGGUUGCACAUACUCUACGACUCAUAUGUGUCAUUUGUUCUUUUGCUUAUUAUCAACUAAAUGCCACUCGUUCAUUGUUUAACAUUAGACCAACCGUCGAGCCCAUCUCUUUCUCUGCACUAUAGGAUUCACAAGUCUCGACCCAAUCCUUAUCGAUCCGCUACUAUGUCAAGUAUCCAAUACAUGCUAUGAUAUCAUCAAGGAAAGCAUAAGGAAAGGCAAUGCACAAUUAUCCUAUAAUGCAAUAAUACAAGAUGCAGAAUCAAAAUGUACUAAGACAUAGAAGGAAGCCCGAUUGCUUCGGGAUGGACACCACCCAUGUGACGCCCCAACUUCCCAGGGGGUCACCCAUCCUAGGACUACUCCCGUCCUAGCACGCUUAACUCUCUUAACCUCUUGGGCCUUGCCACCACCCAAAAUGCUUAAGCCGGGUUAAGAGUUUAGCCCUAUUAUAUCUCAUAUAUAGGACUAUCUGGGGUCUCACAACCCACCUCUUGGCGAUGCCACGAUGAUAGAAAACUCGACACUGCGGUCUUUGCACGCCGCUUCAACUCCUCGGGGCGAAGCGAGCCCUCAAGUACCCGAUUUGGCGAUUUCUUCGCACCCGCUCGUCGGAUCGAGAAACCGUCUUCGCCGACGCGUUCCGCGACCUAGCAAUUAGGUUUGCGACCCAUUAAACUAGAUCAAAACCCUAGAUUUCCAAAAAUCCCAAUUCUAUGCCCUAGAAUGGCAACGAGGUAGAAAUCCGUGGUGCGAGCUUCGAUUGCGAGCCCGAACCAUCUAUUCCUCUCCUCUAGGUUCCAUUCGAUCCAUCUCUAAGUCAUAAAACCCAAUCUCAAGAAAUCUACCAUGGAUGGGUUUGAAGCUUACCUCUAUACAAGGCUUUAAGCUAGAGGGAGAGAGGGAGAGGAUGAUCUUCCUCUUCUUCUUAGUCUUCUCCUUCUCUUUCUUCUUCUUUCUUCUCCUUUUUUCCUUCCUCUUCUUCUUCUUCUUCUUCUUUCUCUUUCUUUUCUUCCUAGAGAGAGAGAGGAAAGAGUGUGAGAGAGGGAGCGAGAGCAACUGAGAGGGAGAGAAGGGUCCCCCACCUCUAUUAAAGGCUAUUUUGCAAACAGCCCCCUCAACUUUUCAUCCUUCAAACCAGCCCUCUCUGGGCAUUCUCGCAGUGAGGGACCGGUCCCCGAAGGCUGCCAUUUCGAGCAGAGGGGUUUUCGCGUUCGGGAACUGGUCUUUGCCUGAGAGACCGGUCCCUGGGAGACCGGUCCUUGUCCGAGAGACCGAUUCCCGAGAGCAAUACUUUCGGGACUUAACCAAAUUUCGGCUUCUCUCGCUGGGCCAACGUUCGGGAACCGGUCCCUCACUGUCGGGGACCAGUCUCAUCAGAGACCCCCGCAGAACAGCCUGAUGGGACCGGUCCCUCCCUGUCAGGGACCGGUCCCCGAGAGCAUUUCUGCUCCAGUGCAAGUUUUGCACUGGUGCUCUCGCGGACCUUUCCUCAAUGCACUUUAUGCAUUAUAAUCACCUUCGGACUUUCCGAAGCUUACACACUCGACAAUUGGUCGGUUCUAGUCGAAGUCUAAUCCUCGUAUUUCGAGAAUUCACUUCCUUACACUAGUCCACUUCUAAGUCUUCUAAACCUAUAAAUAAGCCAUGGGGGUCAUCAUAUGAUAUUAUGCUUAGAAUUUCUACCUUUCUAAAACCCUAGAAACUUGUUUUCAUGAUUCGAUCUUUAUAACGAGUUUCGGAUUAUCAACCAUCGACUUGAUUCUUAGGUUUUAACUUGAGAAUUUCUUCGAGAAUUGAUGGAUGAUUAGAACGUGAACCCUCAUCGCUUACGCUAUUCUAAGUUUUAAUAACCACAAAUCGUCUACUCUACGAGCUCCGGACGGAGGAGUUGCAUGUGGAUCGUGUGUGAGGCCGAGGAUUCGGUGGACGCAUCGAGGAGUCGAGGCGUUCACGCGGCAAGGACUUGCGGCGUGAUCGGUUGGAGGAUUCCAAGCGAUCGUGGACCAGCGAAGACAAUCUACAACGAGGAUUCGGUAAAUUGAGUCGUGUAUUUUCAUUGAAUCAUUUGUACUCAAGUAUUCUUAGUGGAUUUCUUCGUCUGAUCAGUCCCGUGGGUUUUUCUCUCCAAAUUGGAGUUUUCCCACCUUCUCGGUGUGCUAUUUUUUAAAUUUCCACUAUUUUAUUUUAUUCGCAUCGAGAGUUUGUGUUUUAGCCAUUUACACCUAUUCACCCCCCUUUAGGUGUUAUUUACCUUUUAGAUCCUCGGGAUCCAUAUCUUACAAGUGGUAUCAGAGCGGGUAUAGGUUGUAAUUCAUGGCCGAGGGCGAUAACAUUAAUCGACCCCCUCUCUUUGAUGGCACUAAUUACGCGUAUUGGAAAGUCCGUAUGAGGGCGUUUUUUAUUGCCAUCGAUGAGUGGGUUUGGCAAGCCGUUGAAUUCGGGUGGAAACAUCCUACCAAAGUUGUCGAGAAUGUUAUCGCGUCCAAACCUAGAAAUAAGUGGACGAAAGACGAAAACGAACUAUCUUCGUUCAACAAAAAGGGUAUCAACGCUUUGUUUAAUGCCUUAAACCAAACCGAAUUUUCUCGAGUUUCGGCGUGUGAAACCGCCAAAGAAAUUUGGGACACUUUGCAAGUUACACAUGAGGGUACAAGCUUGGUAAAGAUUCAAAAAUUAGAAAUGCUUACAAGUAGAUUUGAUUCUAUACGUAUGGAAGAACAUGAAUCCUUUACCGAGUAUUAUACUCGUUUGCAAGACAUUGUAAACACGUGUGCUAACUUAGGCGAGAAGAUUCCGGACUCCAAAAUUGUUAGAAAAAUUUUGAGAACCCUUCCCGAACGUUUUCGUCCUAAGGUUGCGGUAUGUAUUAGAUUUCUUCUCCUGGAUAAAUUUUUGUACAUGAUCUCGUUGCUUAGCCUUGGGCGGACAGGGGAGGUGCUGUCCAUUCGGCGUCUGUUCGACGCGCCCCGAACCGGACCAAAUUGGUAGCGGCGUCGGGACGUGACAGAGAGAGAGGGUGUAAGUGAGAGGAAAAUGAGGGAAAGAGAGCACUACUACAAGUACAAAAUUUAGUGGCGACAAAUGUCGCCACCAUAGCUAAUAAUGUCACCACGGAAAACGAUUUGGCGGCGACAAUCCGUCGCCGCAUGCUGCCGCCUAAAACCCCUUCGCUAAAACUAUUUGGUGGCGACAACAGGUCGCCGCUAAAAGUUAGAUAAUUAGCGGUGACAUGUCGUCGCCGCGAUAUAUUAGCGGCGACAUUCCGUCGCAGCUAAAACCCCGAUGGAUCUGGACCAGGAUAUUUGGUGGCGAUAAUUUGUCGCCACUAAAAGUUAGAUAAUUAGUGGCCCGCUACUUAUGACUAGUUUUAUGGUGGCGACUAUUGUCGCCACCAUUUUUCUAAUAUAAAAUUAAUUUUUUAAAAAAACUAAUUGGUAGAUAUAGAUAUUAUUGAUUUAGUAUAAAUUGCUAAAGAAAUAACCUAUAGUUAAUUUUAUUUCUCAUUAUUAACUUUUAACCUUUAAUUUUAAUUUAAUCAUCUCAAAACGAAAUAAAAUUUGGGACAAACAAACCACAGAUCAACAAGCAGAAAUCCUACAUUUUGCAUCGAAUUGUGUCUCUCACAACAGAAAGAAGUUUGGAUCAACAUAUAUAAGUAAGACUGAACCAUCAUAUAUAAGUAAUACAAUCACCCAACACAACCAAAGAACAAAACACGAUAAUAGUGUUUUUUGUCAUUUCCACAUUCAGUUAAAUGUAAAGUUUUCAAAAUAUAUCUAAAUUCUUAAACUUGAUUUAAUAUAUCGCCAAUGACCUGCCAAAAUCUCGUCACCACCUCUUAUAAAUCUGUAAAUAAAAUUAAAGAAAAAUUGGAUUUUCAACAUUUGUUGAUCCUUGAAUUGAUAACGCAUACAAUAUAAGAAUAAAAAAGCCAAGUACGUAGAUAACAAUAUUGACUAUGAACUAUAUAACAGAUAGAAACCGACAUUAAUUAAUUCAAUUCAUGUAACCAAAUAUUACACAAAAAGAACAUACAAAACAGUAAGAUACGAAUGCGAAUGAAGUAACAAGUUACUAAUGUGAAUGAAGUAACAAGAAAUAAACAUUUCAAUCACAAACAAAACAUCAGAUUUGAAGCGCUUCAAAUCUUAUUUUCUUAAUCGUAUGGGAUUAGGUAUGAUCCCAUUUUCGGCCAAAGUAAUCAAAAUUCCGAGUGAAUAAAAUGGUACUGCUCAUCUUUGAAUGGACUGAAUGUGAGAGUGUUGGCUGAAUCCUUUGGAUGGUCCAAGGGAAGAACAAAUUGUUAACCAAAUGGACCCCAAAAGCAGGCACAAAUUGUUCACAUACAAGCACGGUUAGAAACUAAAUACAAGAUGAAAUUGGCACUUUGCAUAGUGCAUAACUGCAUGCUAGCAUAUCUAAAUUCUAAAGUCUAAACAGUAAACAAAUAAAAGAUACAUAAAGUUCACUAUUACGUCCUACGGCGGUCGCAACAAGUACAAUACAAAGGUUCCCAACCAAGGAACAGUACUCAGCACAGAAUUGCAUCAGGAAGGUAUCAAUCAACAUAAAACACGUAUCUAUGAGUAUUACAUCCAUUAUUUUACAUCACAUUCCAUUACAUUCAACUUCCAUACAAUUAGUUUUUAAACAUUUAUUGAUGACAAUUUGAUACAUUUGCUUGCUUUUAUUUCUAUACCCAUAGCUACGACGACGGCGGUACUGCUAGUCUGUUUUUUUUUCCCCUUUCUGGGUGUUUUAGGCGAUAUCUACGAAGCUACGCCCUUGUCCUCGCCCGCCGCCGCGCCGCUCAGUUGCGAACCUGUAAAACUCCAAAAACACGUGGUGAACCAACUCCAUGGUCCCAGUGGGUACGGCCACCCAAGAGGAGGCUCGCACCACAGCGUCCAAGGGAGGGCAAUACAAGUUAGCUCAAUAAAGCGAUAGUAUGUAUAUCAUAAACAUGCAAACUACUUUACCCUGUUUGCCUCACAACUUGCAAUGAUGCCAUGACUAUAUGCAACUAGGAAUAUAUGGCAACGAUGAAUAUAUGCAACAACUUAGAAUUAUUGAUUCUACAAUCAUCUCAUAUCUUAGCUCAUGAUCAGUUUAACUCUAGGUUUCCAAAUACGCUUAGGUUUAACACAUUUACCACUAGCCUCAAGGUGUUAUCUACUUAUUCGCAGACUUAGCACCCGACUCGCCUCGGAGGCAAUCAACAGCGGACAAUCGCGCUCUGCCCGGUUGAGGUGAGGGAUCGUCGACAUGCACUCGCCUGCAACUAAGAACAGAUCGCAACGCGUCGCCCGAAAGGUCCAAGAAUGCCCACCACCCAGUGAGUCAGGAGAUCGCAAGUGGAGAGAAGAGGAAAACAUAGACGCGAUCACCAAAUCAGCAAGAAUAUCCACCAGCAUACGGAACGAAGAGAACAUGUCAGUACCACCUAAAGCGACUCUUAAAUAUUCUUGCUUAGACUCAAUAAAUCCUCAAGUCUCCUACAGUCCAAGGAUGGUGAGAAGGAAAAAACAAUCGCCGCAAAAUAGAACCAGCCCGGUCCAAAGAACUAUUGCGCUUCAACAAGUACUAAGCGAUUACCGUAAUCGAACUUCACAAUCCAAAGGCCGAUAUCAUUCACAACCAAUAUACUAAUUGCACAUAACUAGGUCAAUGCACUUAAUCCACCAAUAGGUACCAACGAACUACAUAGGUCUUAUGACCCUCAAUUCACAACCAUAAGGAUUUACACUUAACUUACAGGUUCGAGUUCUCAACUAAUGUUUGAUAUAACAACUAAACAGUUAGAUGCACCAAAACUAAGAUCACCGAAUCUAGAGUCCAUAACAUUCAACACAUAAACUUCUUUAACACUAGACUAGCAUGCCACUCGUAUAAUUUAUCCAUAGGUCUCUCAACAACACUAGGUUAGAUGUCAUCUAUGUUCCGACACAUGUUUUUAACACAUAGGUUAAAUGCCACACCGACUCACUCUACAACAUUUAGAAAUAAUAAAUAUUUGUCAUAUCAGCAGUAUUCUACAGUUACCAAUACUAUAUACUUAGAAUCAACUACUUGACAAUAUCUUUCAUUAAAUAUAUCAAUGACAUGCAUUAUCCUUAUACUUAUAGCUUACUAAUGUAUAUCAUGCUUCUCUAGCAUACAUAAUAAACCAUGCAAUUAGCUAAGCAUAUAUUCUACACCCAAUAUAAAAAUAUAUCCAUUAUUAAUGCAUAUAUAUUACUACAAUUACGUCACAAUAUGCAUUAUCAUCUAGCAAUUACCUUAUAUCGCAUCAACAAUGGAUUCUUAACUUGAUUAGUACAGAAAGGGGCGAUCUAGUCGCUUCCGGUAAACACAACCCACCUUAACUCGGCGUGCCGACAUUGACUCAGUCAGUCACUAUGCAGAUCCAGGCAACAUCCACAGCAUCGGCACCCGUUUGAGGGCCCCGCCCCAGAUCUAACAGAUAUUGCAUCGUCAACACGAGACGCGUCGCAUUCUGCCAGUUUUCAAGUGCUACGAUCUUGCACUCGCCAGUUACGAUGCUCGCGGCACCCAAUUUCACUGAUUUAUGGACGUCGACCACGGAAAUUCCACGGCCUGGAACGAAGCAUCCAAGCGUCACUUUCUUCAACUAUCUUAAUUUUGUAACGGACUCAGUACGGCGCCCCCAUUGCGAACACGACUUUCGCCAACGAUGUUUGGUUUACCUAUCAAAAUUAGAUUUACGGACGGGUAUCUUGAAUUCAAAACAUCUAUUCCAAAAUCCCCAUUUAUUGAGCCAUAAGUUUGAGACUACGCAAAAUACACCAAUCGCAAUCUCCAGAUUCAUUGCCCAAUAAACAUCUAUCUAGCGCAUCAAAGGGAAAACACUAAUAAUCUACAACUUAUAAGAAGCAAAUAUAAGACCUAUUUCUAGAGAUAUACCAAUGAGAAGAAAGAGUAACACAAAGACCAUUCCUCACCUCAUCCAUAAGGCUCUGCUCAAAAGCGCUUUUUUAGCGAAGACGAAGGAAGCGGAUUGAGAAUCCCCUUCAAUUGAUCUAAAUCCUUCUCUAUCGUCUUCUUUCUUACUAACCUUCUAAUUUCAUUCUCUUCUUCCUUAACUUUCGAAUUUAGAGAAGAGAGAGAGCGCACGGUACUGCGGGACUGAAAGAAGAAGGAAAUCGAGUAAAACCCAGCUUCUAAUCACUCUAAUAGAUAAGCAAAAUGCACUUAGCACCAACUAAAAAGACAAUCAAAUGAUUGAAACAGGACCAAGAAAUGACGCAAAUAUUUCACAAAGAGAGAGAAUAAGAAGAAAAAACAGUACUCUACAUGAACGAGACCAGAAUAAUUCUAACCUACUGGAGACGGUCCAGAGAAGCCUCCAGAACCCAGAACCUUAGCAAAAUUUUCAAGCUAUACAGUACCAUUACGCCCUCAGAUUUUCGCCACAAGUUUUGUUCCUGACCUCCGAUUCGUCAUUACAUCGAAACCACGCGAACCUCCAAACAUAAGAUUAUUACAAAAAAUCAAGAUAUAUUCACGCAUCCUUUCCAUCUCGCAUAAUGACAGUUUAAGACCUACAAAAACGGCCCAAUUUAGCCUUAUCAAGAGGUUAUAUCGUUUUCCGCGCCUACAGACGACCCACCGACACGAAAAAAAAACAAAAAAAAAAACAAAAAAAAAAAAAAAACACAAACGAUUGAUACCUUUAACACAUAACACACAGAACUUAACACAAGAAACCCAUUCAAAUGGCAUUAUACAAACCAUCAAUAUACACCAUAAAAAAAUAUCAUGCAUAUAUUAAGGAAGAUCCCAACAGAAAAAAAAAAAAAAAAAAAAAAAAAAAAACCCACAAACACAACCCGCGAUACCCAUUACACACAGAUAAUACAUGAAAGAAUAGAACAAUCAGACCAAUAGAGCAAGAGAAAAAAAAGAUAGAAUCCUACACUCGCUUAGCGAGUAUUACGUAAAGAAAACCAGGAAAUAGAAAUUCAAGCGGAAAGCUGCAGCAGAUCAAAAUCGAACCAUAAAUUAAAGGAAAUGCGAAACGAAACUAUCUACGAUAAUUAAGAAUAUAAGAGGAUAACUUUGUAGACAAAUAGGUUAAAAUGAAAAAAAUACAUAGUCAUUUGAGCGUUUUCAACUCAAAAUGAUAAUUUUAUGAUAGCAUUAUCCCGCUUACGAGAUAAUAGAUUAACCUUUAUAGGGAACAUAUACAUAGAUCAAAAAACGGAAAAAAAAAAAAAAGAUAGAAACUAGAAGAAAUUUAUAUUACCAAAAAAUCAAGCAACUAAAAAUGUACCGCGAAAAAGAGAAGACAAUAUCAGAGAGAAUAACAGCAUGGACGGAAGAUUUUUCUACGAAAGAUUAUGCUCAACAUAGGACAUAAGACACUCGGCCAUACUAAAAAAAAAAAAAAAUAAAAAAAAAAACAAAAAAAAAAAAAAAAAAAAUGAAUAAUACGGAAACAGAGGCUAUGUAACCCCAUAGGACACAGUCGAUGAAUGGUUGUAUUUUUACGGAACAACCAUCAAAACUUAUUCUGUGCACACAUGCAUAACGAGACUAAAAAAUGUACCAACUGAGACAGAAAACUUACUGUACACGUAAAUAAAUGCAAAUAUAUAUUAAGAUAGAAAAAAUGCAAAAAAAUAUAGAGUUUCGAUUAUACUACCAAAACGUAACUUAGAAACUUAUACAAUCAAUAAUACAACUUGAAAAACAUCGAUAGAUUCAUAAAAAUCUAUAAUUAAGUUAGAAUCACAAUUAAACACAAUGAAAUUAAAAAGAAUAUCACCUAAGCAAUCAAGUCAGAUAAAUUAGUAUAUUACAGAUGUUUUGCUAUCACUUUCGAUUUUCGAAAGAAAUUCUUAGGAAAUUACUUCAGCAUACAUAUUCCAUACAUCGUAUACCGCCGACAUUAUUCAGACUCACGACACAUGACCCACGAAAACUACUCCAACAAACAUAGGAAACCUAACAAAUAUACCAUAUGGAGAACAUGAUCAACAAUUUAAAGAAGUAUAAAUAUACUACCGUUAACCAAAUGCACGAAACAUAAUUGUACAAAAAUAACAGAAUGUGAACUAAACUUCGUACAGCACAGAGAAGGAUCUCCAAGAAGAACUACCAAAACUUACGUUCAGAAAAUUAAAAUUUGAAGACCUUCAACCCGAACGUAUUAUAAGUAACACUAUAAGAGUUGCAAAAGAAACAUAAAAAUGUAAUUGAAAAUAAUUAAUUAAAACAAUACAGACAUGGGACAGGGGAGGUCCUGUCCGUUCGGCGUCUGUUCGACGCGCCCGGGCCGGACCAAAUUGGUAGCGGUCUCGGGGCGUGACAAGGAAACUAGUCACUUACCUCUAGGAUGCUCCAAACCAAGCUCAAAACCAAGUAGGGUUAAAGUUUGAUCCUCCACGAAGCUUCAACCACAAGCUCCAAGCCACCAAGGUAAGAAAUGAGGUUGGGGAAGAUGCUCCAAAGCCUCCAAGCUAGCUCUCUUCUACUACUCCUCUUCUUCUCCUUCUUCUUCUCUUUCUAGAGAGAGUGUAGAGAGAGUAUGAGGGAGAGAAAUGAGGGAAAGAGAGAAGAGAAAGGCUCUAAAAGCCUUCUAACGUAACAGAAUCCUGAUAAGCCCCUCAACAAUCCAAUCUGCACACUGCCCGGGUUUGGGCAGUUUUCGUCCAAAGGGACCGGUCUUUCCCUACCUGGGACCGGUCUCUCGGUUCGUCCCGCAAAACCAACGUUCGAGAACCGGUCUCUCCCCACAUGGGACCGGUCUCUCCCCGCGUAGUCACGCUCGGGGACCGGUCUCAUCCGCCAAGGACUGGUUGCCUCAAGUCCUGCCGCAGCACUGUUCCGGGGGGACCAAUCUCUCCCACCAGGGACCGGUCCCUGAGAGUGAAAACAAUCAGGACUUGGCCAAAAUCGAGAAAUCGAACCUUUAGGUCGGAAUACCAUCAACGACCUUCCACCAAGUAUGAAAAAGUUCGGAAUCCAUCCAAUCACUCAAACCUCGCAAUUUGCGCAGGUCCAGUGUGUUACAGAUACUAAACUAUUACAUCCAUUCAACUUUUAUACAUUUGAUUAACUUUACAUUUACAUCUCCCAAAAUAUGAUACAAAUUCACCUCCACAUUUAGAUACAUAUUCAUCUCACAUGCAUAAGUACUCUCCAAAAUACAUCCCAAAAUAUACAUGAUCAUCUGUGUACACGAGGGUACUCUAAAUGCAAGUACAAAAUGCUACUAACUAAGCUAGGUACCAUCAGUACGAGCUCUGAUACCACUUGUUAGAUAUGGAUCCCGAGGAUCUAAAAGGUAAAAGACACCUAGAGGGGGGUGAAUAGGUGUAAACGGUAAAUAUCAAGAAACUCGAUGCCACGCACUGAGGUCUUAAAGAUGAACGGUCCACCAUCGGAAUCUUCCAAAUAUCCUGCUCGCAUAUAGAAUUCCCGAAUUAAUUCCAAACAAUAUCUAGUUUGUUCGGGAAAGUUGCUAAUUUCAUAGAGACCCCCGUUCUCAAAUAAGUCUUGAAGACCAGGAACUCGGUCAAUCAAGUUCUGAACUCCAACGUGGCGCUCACCAAUACAAUUCUUCGAAGAGUACAUAGAGCGUCUCUUCGGAUCAACGGUGCCUUCCUGAGUACUGCGACGAGGUAAAUGAGCAGUAGGUUCACGAAUUUCAAUACCACCAGUCUUCUUCUUACUACGAGAGUAUGUCAAUUUUUCCGUUCCUUUGCCUGUGGCUUUGCUCUGUCUUUUUUCCUUUUCUGUAACUACCUUUUCCUUCCCUUUCUUCUUUGUCGACACCACUUCCGGAGAGAGUGCUUCCCAAUCUGUCGACUCAGUUUCUGAUUCUUCAUCAGGAGCAUAUUCACUGCCGACAUCCUCAACUAGUGGCUCGACAUGUUGCUGAGUCGAAGUACGCUGGCGCUUACCACCACGACCACCACCAGCCAUGAGGAACGCAAGCACAAUUAAAAGUGAAUACAUUAUGGUUAUCGAAAGAGAUCCCUGUUUCAACAAAUUAAAGGAAAACAUAGAUAUCAUUCAGAUUUUUUUUAAAAAAAAUGAAAUAUAGGGCCAUAUGGAAAAAGGCAAAAUGAUGUAUCAAGAGAAUGAAGAAAAACAUGAGGAGAUCGAGAAUCACAAGGAUAUUCCAGAGAUCAAUGAUUAGAAACACGAUACCAAACAAAAUCUCAUAUCAAAACCACCAAAACACAAUCUCGGAAUGUAUAUGCAAAAAUAAAACCUAAAAAGAAAACUUACCAAUCAAAGCAAAGAAAAACGGGAAGAAGCAGAGCAAACACCCUCUGGAACCCUAGACCAGUCGUGGGAAGAAUUUUAGACAAAAUGGUAAAGUAAGAGAGAGAGACCGGACCAACAAUCGUAUAUAGGCACGGGCGGAGAGACCGGUCCUUCAAGACAGGGGACCGGUCCCCGUACCAAAAAAUUUCCCCUUUUUUUUCAUUUAAAAAAAUGAUGUUCCAAUGACAUAUAAUAUAAAUUUUUAAAUAUGGCAAACAAAAUCAAUUUCAAAAAUAUUCAAAAUGUCAAUAUUCGUUGAACAAAUAGACGAUUCAAAUUCUAAAUGGGUAUAAUGCUAAAAUCCACACAUCAAUUAAGAUCUAAAAAUUAAUCGUCUCGUAUUGUCUUCAUAAUUGCUAAAUAGAGGAAUAAAAAGAUCCCGUAAUCAUGAAAUUAAGAUAGGAUGAUCAAAUUGAGUUAUGCACCAAAUUCGACAAGGAAGUGGCUCUUUAAGCAUCUUUUCACUAUCCAUCUUAUAUCACCUAGGAGAUGUAUUGUAAGUAACUCAUGCUUUAUCAUCUCCAAAGCACCUUUUUAAACCCUUUUUUUUAAUAUAUAUAUCACCGGACAUUGUUGGCUUCUUUAUCAAUUGAGAUGCUUUAAACAGACAUGUGGUAGCUGCACACACGUACCGGACGACCGGAGUGGUAGCUCUUUCCUUCAUGUGGUGGUAGUUUUCACACUCCCAUGAGGGAUGUAACUCUUUCCACAUCUUUUGACAUUCUAAUUUAAUUCCAGGAAAAACACCCCCUAAAUAAGUGCAACCCUCAAAUUGACGAUGUUAUCACAAGUUCAAAAAUAGGAAAAUCUUUAUUCAUAUCAAAGCUCAUAAUCCAACAAGACAAAGAUAAUGUUUAAAGUUCAAAAAUGAGGUGUUGAAUUUAGCAAAUUAUACUAAAAUAGAAUUUAAAUGAAUCUAUCUUUUCAAAAAUAUGACACAGAGAAUAAAAAAUGAUAUUGACCAAGCUAAACACAUUAUAAAUAAUGAAAAUCAUGUCAUGGAUAUCACAAAAAUGAUCAAGUAAAAACGACAGAUAUGCAAAAGAUCUAUGGCCCAAAAACUAUAUCUAAACAGAUGGAUUCAUACCAAUAGCCUUUCGCAAAUGAAGAAAACGUUUUUGAUCUAAAGGUUUUGUCAAAAUAUCAGCAAGCUGAUUUCCAGUAGAAAUAUAUUCAAGAUGAAGAAGAUUUGAUUCGACUAGUUCUCUUAAAAAAUGAUAUCUGAGUUCAAUGUGUUUCGUUCGAGAAUGUAAAACAGGGUUUUUAGAAAUAUUAAUUGCACUUGUGUUAUCACAAAGAAUAGUAAGAGUGGUGGAUGGGAUCUGAUAGUCGCUCAGUAAGCUCUUCAUCUAUAACAACUGAGUAGAGCAACUACAAGCAGAAAUAUACUCGGCCUCGGCAGUGGAUAGUGCAACAAUUCUGUUUCUUGCUAUGCCAAGCGACAAGACAAUGUCCGAGAUAGAAACAUGCUCCACUAGUACUCUUCCGAUCAUCGGCAGAGCCAGCCCAGUCUGCAUCCGAGUAUCCAAUCAGAUCAAGAGAUGUUCCCAUAGGAUACAAGAGACCAUAAGCGGUUGUACCUUUAACGUAUCGAAUAAUCCUUUUGACCGCUUUUAGAUGAAUUUCCUUAGGAUUAGCUUGAUAGCGAGCACAAAUGCCAACGCUGAAGGCAAUAUCUGGUCUACUCGCAGUCAAGUACAACAGGCUUCCUAUCAUGCUUCUGUAUAAUUUCUCAUCCACGCUAGGUCCCUCUGAAUUCAAUCCAAGUCCUUUGUUACUUGUACCCAUUGGAGUGUCAAAAUCCUUUGCGUUGUCCAAUCCAAAUUUCUUAACCAAAUCUUUCGCAUAUUUGGAUUGACACAAGUGUAUUCCAUCUUUAGUUUGUUUGACUUGAAGUCCAAGAAAAUAGUUAAGCUCCCCCAUCAUUGACAUCUCAAAUUCGCUUGUCAUCAACUUUGCAAAAUCAUUGGCAUCUUUAUCCUUAGUUGCUCCAAAGACGAUGUCGUCAACAUAAAUUUGUGCCACGAUGAAAUUAUCUUUCGAGUGUUUAACAAACAGAGUUCUAUCCGCUCCCCCUCGGUUGUAGCCCUUUUCCAAAAGAAAUUUUGUCAAACGCUCGUACCAUGCCCGCGGAGCCUGUUUAAGACCAUAAAGUGCCUUUUUCAGACGAAAAACAUGAUUAGGAAAUUUUGAAUCUAUGAAACCUUUCGGUUGUUCAACAUAGACUUCCUCUUUUAGAAAACCGUUUAGAAAAGCACUUUUAACAUCCAUUUGAAAAAGAGUAAUUUUAAAAUGACAGGCGAUCGCGAACAGAAUACGAAUUGAUUCAAGACGAGCAACCGGGGCGAAGGUUUCCUCAAAAUCUAUUCCCUCAACUUGUGAGUAGCCUUGAGCAACUAGUCUUGCUUUAUUUCGAACAAUGGUACCAUCCUCAUUUUUCUUAUUCUUAAAAAUCCACUUGGUACCAAUUAUGUGUUGUUGCUCAGGACGUGGCACCAAUUCCCAGACAUCAUUACGCGUGAAUUGACCAAGUUCGUCUUGCAUAGCAUUAAUCCAGUAUUCAUCGAGAAGAGCUUCAUCAACAUUCUUUGGCUCCACUAAAGAAACAUAGCAAGCAAAUUCACACUGAAGCUGUCUCCUUGUUUUCACACCAGUAAGAGGGUCUCCAAUAACAUUUGACAAUGGGUGAUCUUUCACAGGUGUAAGUUCAGAUGAGGUGAUAGGGGUUUCAGAUGAAUCAUGUGAUGCAAUAGUAUCAAUAGUUUCAGCAGAAAUAUCAGGCACAGAAAUUUCAUCAAUCACAGGCAAGUUAAAUGGAGAAUCAUUAUCAUCAUCACUCAUCAAAGCAUUUGAAGAACCAUUCACAGAAGAUCCUACUGAAGAAGCUUCAUCUACUUUUAUAUUAAUGGAUUCUAUCACCGUCUUAGUACGUAAAUUGUACGCACGAUAUGCACGACUAGAAGUAGAAUAUCCAAGAAAGAUUCCUUCGUCACUUCGGGAGUCAAAUUUUCUAAGAUUUUCACGAUCCCGAAGGAUAAAACAUUUACUCCCGAAGACACGAAAGUAUUUAAUAUUCGGUUUUCUGCCAAUCCACAAUUCAUACGGAGUGUUUAAAGUACCCGGGCGUAAAUAGAUGCGGUUAAUCACAUAGACAGCCGUGUUAACUGCUUCAGCACAGAAGUGUAGUGCAACUUUCUUGCUAUGAAGCAUAACACGGGCCAUUUCUUGAACAACCCGAUUUUUACGUUCAACCACUCCGUUCUGUUGUGGUGUAUAGGGAGCAGAGAAUUCAUGUUUGAUGCCUUUUGAAACAUAGAAAUCAACAAAUUUUGAAUUUAUGAAUUCUCCCCCUUGAUCACUUCGAAUGCGUACAAUUUUAUCAUUCCUUUCAUUCAUAAGACGAAGACAGAUUUCAGAAAAAGAAUCAAACGUAUUAGCUUUUUCACGUAAGAAGGCACUCCAUACAAAACGAGUAAAAUCAUCAACAAUAAGCAAAAUAUAUUGUUUUCCACCCAAACUUUGAAUUCUAGAGGGUCCCAUCAAGUCCAUGUGGAGUAGCUCUAAUGGUUUGGAUGUCCCUAAGUGAUUCAAAUUCUUAUGUGUGGAUCUAGUUUGCUUUCCCAAUUGACAACCCCCACAAACAGUGUUCUCCUUGAAGUCUAUCUUAGGUACACCUCUAACAGCCUCCUUCUUAGUUAUCUUAGAUAGUUCCUUAAAGUUCAUGUGACCUAGACAUUCAUGCCAUAAAGUUUCAGUCUCUAAUGUCGCUAGGUUGCAGUGUUCAGUCAUAGAACUAGGAACUACAUAGCAGUUAUUCUCAGAUCUAACACCCUUUAAAAAAAUGUCAUCAUUACGAGUCACAGUGCAUUCUUUGUCAGAAAAUUUCACAGAGUACCCAUCAUCACACAACUGACUUAUGCUUACGAGAUUUGAUUUGAGCCCCUCAACAUAAAAGACAUCAUUCAAAGUAGGGCCAUCUGAGAUAGUGACAGUUCCUUUUCCAACAAUUUUUUAUGACCAACCAUCUCCAAAAACAACCAGUCCACCGGAAAUUUUGUUUAAAGAAGCAAACCAAUUUUUAUCACCGGUCAUAUGACGUGAACAGCCACUAUCCAAAUACCAAGAAGUAUUGUCGUAAGCAUGAAGCGAAGUGUGAACGACAAGGCAAGGAAAGAGUUCACCUUUGCGCACCCAAACCUUACGUGUUUUGGGUUGCGUUGUCCGACUUGAUUGAGAUACUCUUUACUUGUCGAUGAUUUGUGUAGUUCUUUUCUUUGGAUCAUUCUUCUUAGGCAUCCACGUUUGUCUUGCCUUUGUCUUUGGUUCUUCCUUCUUCAGUUGUUCCUUUGGUUUCCUAUUCAUGAGUGUUGUAGCAUUUUUCGGCUUUUGUUUACAAAAUCUCUUCACAUGGCCUACAACACCACAAAGAUGACACGUUUUGUUAGCAAAAGAGUUUUUGGGGGGAACAAACUUACCAUAGACCUUCAGAAUCGGUUUUGUGGAGUGUUCGUCUACUUUCUUCAUUACUUGAUCGACAUAUGUCCGUUCGUAUCCAAGUCCGAAUUUGUUGGUUUGACUGAGUCCUAACAUCUUAUCAAGUUUGCUUGACCUGGACGAAAACUUGUUCAAAUCCGAUUUGAGUUGAAUGAUAGUCUUGGUAAAUUCCAUGUUGGAUUCUCUUGCUUCCGUGUAUUGCUUGGUAAGAAAAUCAAUGUUUUCAACCAAAGUUUCCUUUUCCUUCUCAAGCAGUACACAUUUGUCCAAUAAAGUAUUAUAUGACUCGGUCAAAGUGUCCUUUUCCUGCUCCAAACUUUUUGUCAAUGACUCUAAUCUUGUAUUGUCUUGGUCUAGAUCAUACAAUCUUCGUCUCAACUUCUUGUUAUGUUUCGCCACUUUCUUUGAUUCAAUAACAAGUUGAUGAUAUGCGGCGGCCAUAUCUUCUUCUUCCGAUUCUUCAUCCGUCGAGUUUUCCGUAGAGGAUUUUUCAUGCAAAGAGGACAUAGAAAUUGAGUCAGUCGAUGCUAAACACAUAAAAGUAGAAUCCUGUGCAAUAAGUGCAGUGGCAUUAACGUCAUCAUCACUUGAGGACGAUUCGUCGGAUGAGGACUCAUCCCAAGUAAUGGCUUGCAUUGCUUUCUUUUUCAAAGACUUUUUGUUAGGACAAUCUGAUGCAAUAUGACCAAAACUCCUACACUUAUAGCAUUGGAUUUGACCUUCGCUACUUUUCUUUUCUUUUGUAAAAUCUUUUUGAAAAUUUUCUGAUUUUUUAAACUUUGAAGAAGAGGAAGGGGAACUCCCUUUUGAUUUGUUUGGCUUAGAGGAAGUUGGCUUCGAAGAAAAGUUCUUUCUAAAAUUCCGACGGAAUUUCUUAGUCAAAAGUGCCAUUUGUUUCUCAAACUCUUCCAAGGUUACGUCAGAGUCCGAGUCUGAUGAAGAAGAUUCCACAUUGCCUCCUUUGGUUGAUUUUAACGCCAUACCUGAAGCUUUAGAAGACAACUUGGAAGAAGAUGAAUUAGCAGGAAAAGUCAUUUCAUAAGUUUGAAGAGCACCAACUAAUUCAUCUACUUUGAGUUCAUCCGAAUGUUUUACCGUUUCUAUGGCCGCAACCUUGGGACGAAAACGUUCGGGAAGAGUUCUCAAAAUUUUUCGAACAAUUUUUGGUUCAGAAAUCUUUUUACCCAAAUUUGCACAAGUAUUGACAAUAUCUUGAAGACGAGUGUAAUACUCGGUAAAGGUUUCAUUUUCUUCCAUACGAAUAGAAUCAAAACGACUAGUCAACAUUUGUAAUUUCUGAACCUUUACCAAGCUUGUACCCUCAUGAGUGAUUUGUAAGGUAUCCCAAAUUUCUUUGGCAGUUUCACACGCCGAAACUCGAGAAAAUUCAGUUUGAUUCAAAGCAUUGAACAAAGCAUUGAUACCCUUCCCAUUGAACGAAGAUAGUUCGUUUUCCUCUUUUGUCCACUUAUUUCUAGGUUUCGGACCGGUAACAUUCUCGACCACUUUAGUAGGAUGUUUCCACCCGAAUUCAAUGGCUUGCAAAACCCUCUCGUCGAUAGCAAUAAGAAACGCCCUCAUAUGGACUUUCCAAUAUGCGUAGUUAGUGCCAUCGAAGAGAGGGGGUCAAUUAAUGUUACCCCCCUCGGCCAUAGAUUACAACCUAUAUCCGCUCUGAUACCACUUGUUAGAUAUGGAUCCCGAGGAUCUAAAAGGUAAAAGACACCUAGAGGGGGGUGAAUAGGUGUAAACGGUAAAUAUCAAGAAACUCAAUGCAAAUUUAAAAUAACAUGCGAAAAAUAAAAUCAGCACACCGAGAAUUAACGUGGGAAAACUCCAAACAGGAGAGAAAAACCCACGGGACCGAUCACACGAAGAAAUCCACUAAGAAAACAUGAGUACAAGUGAUUUAGCAAAAAUAUAAGACUCAAAAUACCGAAUCCUUAUUGUAGAUUAUCUUUGCUAGUCCACGAUCGCUUGGAAUCCUCCAACCGAUCACACUGCAAGUCCUUGCAGCCGCACACGCCUCGAUUCCACGAAACGCCCACCGAAUCCACGGUCUCCACGCGAGAUCCACGCGCUAACGCUCCAUCCGAAGCUCGUAGAAGUUCAACAAUUUGUGGUGAUUAAAGAUCUUUGAAAGCACAUAUAAUGUGAGGAGAAACUCGAAUUAAAAUAUCAUCAAUUUGAUCCUUAACUAAAAUUUGAAUCAAAACGAAGAAUCAAAUUGAUGAUCUAAUGCUUGAUGUUUUAAAAACAUAGAACCGAAACUCCGAAUCAAGCCGUUAGGGUUUUUAAAAAGUUAUCUCGCUCAACUCUCUUCAAAUAGAGAUCCUCAUAUCAUAUUUAUAGGUUUAGAAGACUUCUAGAUAGAUUAGGAUUCCAAAAACUCAAUUUUAAAAACUGACGACGGUCUCAGGGUCCGGUCCUUUCGAAGAGACCGGUCCUUGGGAGACCGGUCCUCCAAGGUGAGGUCCAGUCUUUCGCUGCGUAGAUGUAAAAUAUGCGUACGGGGACCGGUCCUCAAUUCAGAGACCGGUCCUUCCCUGCGCAACAAGGAAAACCACAUACGGGGACCGGUCCUCAUGAUCAGAGACCGGUCUCCCAAACCUUCUACGCAGAGAAGCUUGAUGGGUCCGGUCCCUCUGAUCAAGGACCGGUCCCCGACCCCUGAGUUUUUCAGAAAACUUAAGUUUGAAUAAAACAAAAGGAAACCAAGUCUUCUAAACAUCUUUUAACAAUGAAAACUUCACCACAAAUUAUUUAUAAUCAUACCUGAGAUCUCAAGGGUCUUUGAUCACAAAAACUCCAAUUCUUUUCGUCAAUCUUCAUUUUCUAAUUCUUCGAGACUCCGUUCAAUACUUUACGAAAUUCGCCAACUUAUAAAAUCCUUAACAGGGCGCUAUGCCCUUACCACGAUCCUUGGCCGUCGCGCUCAAACUCGGCCCUGCAACAAGGUGGGGUGAGAACUACGAAUAGUUCCCAGUGGGUUCGACCGCCGACUCCGCCGAUCUCCCCACUAGGUCUAAGCAGGCAUAGAUAGAUAGAUAUGUAUGAAAGCAGUAACAACAUAGUAUAUAAGAUAAUGCGAGUAUCCAACUAUGCCUCAAUCCAAUGCUAUAAAUGCAUGCACUACAUAGUGAAAGGCUAACUACCGCACUACUAUAUGUUCAACAAGAAUACUUGUUCGAUAGUUUACCCAAUCACUCGGCUAGCCCGGAGGCUCGCUCUCAAUCUCACGUCUCAAUCCCACGGCUAUCCUAUAGGUGCCACACCUACUCAAUCACACUGGUGAGGAUCCGCUCACUCACCCGACUCACAAUCUACUCUCUAUGGGGAGGAUCCGCUCACUCUCCCGACUCACCACACACACACUCUCUACGGGGAGGAUCCCCUCACUCGCCCAACUCAACACAGGUACCACAACCCAAUCUCUAUCUCACAGGUGAGGAUCAGCUCACUCACCCGACUCACCUGGGGAGGAUCAGCUCACUCGCCCAAGACCGUCUGCGGGACCCAAAAGGCUAUCCCUAUCGUGUGACAACUCCGGAGUGCACUGCUUGUGUGGAGCGACCACCCCAAGCUUUGAACAGACAUAUGAGUAUGAUCAAAUCUCCAUCACUGAGGAUAUCCUACCACUCUAGACAACAUCACUUGGGAACUAGUUCAUUCCUACGUUCAACACGCAAUAAGUGUUUCCUCUAUACUUUACUUAUCAUGCCACUCGUCAAGUUAUUUACUUAUCUAGAUGCCACUCGUUCUUUGGUUCUCGUUAACACAAGGUUAAGUUCGUCAUUUACUUUACCACUAUUUGGUUCUAGGUCACAGUUCCCCUAUUCUCAUGCAUCCUAAGUCAAGUGCCAAAUUUAUGUGGCUACACUACUAAGGAUCAUGCAAGAAUUAAUGGAAAUGCAACUAUUUAAUACCCUAUUAUUCAUAAUAGUUACACUAGUCCAAAUGCCACUCGUUCUUUGUGUUCAACACUAACUAGAGUUUAAUCCACAUUAAUCAUGUCAUUAUAGGGUUUCACAACACUAUGUCCCAAUCUCAUGCAUACUAGGUACAAGUAUUAAGCAAAUAACAUUACACUACCACUAGCAUGCUAUAACAUGUAACAAUACCAUCUAGCACCCUAUAAUGCGAUAUCACAAUAUGCAACUUGAUCAACGAUAACUUAGACAUAGGGAGCAGUUCAACUGCUUCGGGAUGGUCACCACCCACCUUUUAUAGCGUUCCGAUUGCUCGUCGUCACUCGGAAUCGGCCUCCCGUGGCGCACGCCGCUCGGCUCGACCCAAUUCACGCGCGAC
rnacentral:lncRNA from 1 species